GUAAAAUUUCCGCCGUAGAAGCUGUACCACGUGGUAAGAUAGUGUGGCUAGGCCGCGUGACUAUUUUAAGCCACUGUUAGGUUAAACUGUAGUACUAAUAAUUUCAUUCUCAGGCCCGAGGGUUUUUGUUUUGUUUUGUUUUUUGAGACAGAGUCUCUCACUGUCGCCCAAGCUGGAGUGCAGUGGCGCGAUCUUGACUCACUGCAACCUCCGCCUCCCGGGUUUAAACGAUUCUCCUGCCUCAGCCCCUCAAGUAGCUGGGACUACAGGCGCAUGCCACCACACCCAGCUAAUUUUUGUAUUUUUAGUAGAGACGAGAUUUCACUACGUUGGCCAGACUGGUGUCGAACUCCUGACCUCAGGUGAUCCACCCGCCUCGGUCUCCCGAAGUGCUGGGAUUACAGGCAUGAGCCACCGCGCCCAGGCUUUUAAUCCAGGGGUAGCACAACACCUAGGGAAAAAAUUUAAUGCUUCCAGUUUGUCUCUGUCUUUGACUCUUAAAGGGCCCAAACGUUGUCCGGCUGUUUACAGCUUUGGUCAAUACAGGAGAGAAGGAUUCGUCACUUUUCUGAAGGCCCUCCUGCAUAGAGGAAACCUGCUGUAACUGGCAGUUUUGUUGUUUGCUACACCCAACUGUAGGGCAUCCUUUCUUCUGCAUCAUUUCCCAGAGGGGCAGGUGUCAGGCCUCUGAGCCCAAGCUAAGCCAUCAUAUCCCCUGUGACCUGCACGUAUACAUCCAGAUGGCCUGAAGCAACUGAAGAUCCACAAAGAAGUGAAAAUAGCCUUAACUGAUGACAUUCACCAUUGUGAUUUGUUUCUGCCCCACCCUAACUGAUCAAUGUACUUUGUAAUCUCCCCACCCUUAAGAAGGUUCUUUGUAAUUCUCCCCACCCUUGAGAAUGUACUUUGUGAGAUCCACCCCCUGCCCACAAAACAUUGCUCCUAACUCCACCGCCUAUCCCAAAACCUGUAAGAACUAAUGAUAAUCCACCACCCUUUGCUGAACUCUCUUUUCCGACUCAUCCCACCUGCACCCAGGUGAAAUAAACAGGCUUGUUGUUCACACAAAGCCUGUUUGGUGGUCUCUUCACACGGACACGUGACAGCAGGGAGGGUAUACGUGGGGUGGCUCCUCUUCGGGGUUAUGACAAGCGAGGCCCAGCGUAGGCAGUGUAGGUCCACUGUGCUUGCCAAACACCAAGAGGGCUGUCAUCUGGGUGGAUUCUUAGAAAUGCAGAUUCCUGGCCUGGCACGGUGGCUGUAAUCCCAGCACUUUGGGAGGCUGAGGCGGGUG
rnacentral:lncRNA from 1 species